GCCCGGUUAGCUCAAUCGGUAGAGCGUGAGACUCUUAAUCUCAAGGUUGCGGGUAAGUUCUGGAAAUUUACCACCAAUCU